rnacentral:rRNA from 1 species
AUAAUGGGUCAGCGACUUAUAUUCUGUAGCAAGGUUAACCGAAUAGGGGAGCCGAAGGGAAACCGAGUCUUAACUGGGCGUUAAGUUGCAGGGUAUAGACCCGAAACCCGGUGAUCUAGCCAUGGGCAGGUUGAAGGUUGGGUAACACUAACUGGAGGACCGAACCGACUAAUGUUGAAAAAUUAGCGGAUGACUUGUGGCUGGGGGUGAAAGGCCAAUCAAACCGGGAGAUAGCUGGUUCUCCCCGAAAGCUAUUUAGGUAGCGCCUCGUGAAUUCAUCUCCGGGGGUAGAGCACUGUUUCGGCAAGGGGGUCAUCCCGACUUACCAACCCGAUGCAAACUGCGAAUACCGGAGAAUGUUAUCACGGGAGACACACGGCGGGUGCUAACGUCCGUCGUGAAGAGGGAAACAACCCAGACCGCCAGCUAAGGUCCCAAAGUCAUGGUUAAGUGGGAAACGAUGUGGGAAGGCCCAGACAGCCAGGAUGUUGGCUUAGAAGCAGCCAUCAUUUAAAGAAAGCGUAAUAGCUCACUGGUCGAGUCGGCCUGCGCGGAAGAUGUAACGGGGCUAAACCAUGCACCGAAGCUGCGGCAGCGACGCUUAUGCGUUGUUGGGUA